CUCCAAUUGUGGCUGAUUGUCCUUUAUAUAGUGUUCUCACCCAUCGUAUGUAAUUGGGGCCGAUUCCUAUGGUUUCAAGGGUGGUGAAUAGGAAGGUCCAGUCUACUCGGUCGAACGCCUUUUCAGCGUCCACCGAGAGGAGUAUUGUUGGUUCCCUGGUGGUAGAGGCACCAUGUAUGAGGUUGAGUAUUCUUGUGGUAUUGUCCCUCGCCUCCCUGCCGGGGAUGAAACCCGC